rnacentral:rRNA from 1 species
GACAGAGGUGCCAAGCGUUAGGCGGAAUCACUGGGCUUAAAGCGUGUGUAGGCGGAUCGUUAAGUACCUUGUGAAAUCCCACGGCUCAACCGUGGAACUGCUCGGUAUACUGGCGGUCUUGAGCCACCUAGGGGCAACUGGAACAAGCGGUGGAGCGGUGAAAUGCGUAGAUAUCGGGAGGAAUACCUAUGGCGAAAGCAGGCUACUGGACCGUCACUGACUCUGAUCUGCGAAAGCUAGGGGAGCAAACAGG